ACUAAAGACUUUAAAGACUUUUUGCCUAUAAACCGUACACGACCAGGCCUAAAUCGGAAAGCCCAAAACCAAACUCCGUACUUCCCAAUUUGUUUCGAAGUACAAUUGCACAAUUCAACUGUUAAUAAUGGGGACUGCCAGUUUACCAUUAUCCCAGUUCAAACACGUCGCCUCCCGCCUUCUUGGUGAUCUCCGCCAGUUCUCGUCUUCCGUCGCUCUGAUCCGAAGAGCCUGGACUCUCUUCCCGGAGGAGCCCGAACCCGUAGAACCGGACGCCAGAAGCUUCUUUACGGGCUCGCCCUAAAGUACCAGCGACCCGUAGAUGAAAUCUUGAUCAACUCUGUAAGCUUAAUUGGUACUGUAGACUGCCCUUUUGAAAAAAUUCAAUACUACCAAAAUUUUGGUGUCCAUACUAUUCUCAUUGUCAAAGCUUCCUCUAGCUCGUACCGCUACUUGAAAGUAAGGACUCCAUUAAUAUUUGUCUCUGAUUAUAGUUUAGUUUUUAUUUUUUCAAUUUUUUGUUUUCCCUGAAUGCGUGCGCGAGCGUGCGCGAGCUUUGUAGCGAUUUUAGGCUAGCGAUGGACGUAUUUAUACAAAUACUGUACAGCUACAGCUGAAAAUGUGGGAUGAAAUUGCGGAAAUAUUGGUCCAGCAUCUGAAGCCGAAAGAUUUAAUUUUUGUUUCAGGUUUGAAAUGCUAUUUUUUUAACACUUGUCAAGUGACUGGCAUAGCUUUUUCUUUGUGCAAUAUAUAUCUAUUGGAAUUUAGAACCUUACAAUCUUGGGACCUAGUUGUUUAAUUAUAUUUUUAUUCUUGCACUGAGGCUAUUUUGCCAAAUGCCAACAUGUACUACUUCUAUGAGUUGUACCCCCAUGCUCUCCCCCCCCCCCCUUUUGUCAUGAAGGAAUUCCAUGUUAGUGUAACAUGGAGUGCUUAUAUUCCUGUAGGGUGGUAUUUGUCCUUCAAAUCAAGUUAUAAGAAACUUGUCUUGUUCUGAGGAACUGGGGAGAUAAAUCUCAUUCCUAUAGCACGUAUAUUAGCAAUGUCGUGUUCUCAAAUUUGUGUGAGUUCUCAUCUUACCAGGGUCCAUUUGUGUUUGUUCAAAAUUUACUUUUUGUUUGGUGGAAUAAAAACGAGACCUUUAAUUGAAAUUCAGAAAAGAAGUGAGUUAAUAUAUAACUGGAUUUUUUCAAAUACCAGUUCCAAGCCUCAAACUUCGCGUCGUGAAACGUAGUUGAAGUGUUCUCUAUUAGUUUCUGUUAUUAGUAAUAAUACAUUGAAAUGAGUUCUUGGUAUCAAUUUAUAUUUUUAUUAAAUGAAUCAACUUAAUAUAUAGGGCCUGUUUGUGCCCUCUUUAAUUUUAAAAAAGUAUAUUAUGGAAUAGUGAUUGAUGUUAAAAUAUGUGGUUGAAAAAGAAGGAAAUUUUUUUAUUUAUAUAUAAUAUUAUUUUAAUGAAAAAUGUGUGGUUGAAAAUGAUUACCGUAGAAAAAAUAAUAUGGUAGAAUGGUUGACAAACAAAGACAUAUCAUUGUCAUUACUAUUCAAGUGAAGUUGCUAGUAUCAGUUAUAUGAGGAAACGAAGCAGUUGGAUAAAAUUUAGUUAUAAAAAAAAUGUAAUAGAAAAAUGAAAUUUUAUCAUAAUAUUGGUUAUUAUGUUUUAUAAAUUCCCAAGAAUCUUUAUUAUAAUAUACACCCAUAUUAUUCAUAAAAAUUUCGCAGCUAUGCAUAUAGAGAUGCUUGUUUUAAAUUUCUGUCAGCAGGAUAUGUUGAUAUAUCGAAAUUCUAAUAUUUAAAUAUUUUCUAUGUAGGGACAGGUUGAGGAGAUGAAUUUUGUUGCUCAAAAUUGUCUAGCCACAGUUUGCAAGUAAUCAAAGAAAUUGGAAUCAGGAGGUAGAAAACUUCCUUCUAUUUUUAGCUUUGGUGGUAACGUCCGGCAAGUAAAGCGCCGCUUGUAUAUUGCAUAAUAACUGUAAAUUAAUAUAAAUAUUUCUUGAGCUUUUAAGGGAAAAAGUGGAUCAAUUGAAGAUAUGACUUGCUGGAAAUUGGACGUCGUGGACCCAGUUCUACUUACCUAAAAGAUUAGCCUUAUAGGAGUAAAUAAUCAUGAAUAGUUGACCAUAGAGUUUUUGUUUUCAUUUCAAUAUUUCUUUUGUUUUCUUCUUCUUUAUUCUUUGGUUCUGUCCACCUAUCACCAUUUGAGCUAGAACUAGAAUGCUACAGUUCUUUUUUUUUUUUUUUUAAAUAACUUAAUGGAAGGGGCAAACAGUUGCUAAGUUAGAGGAGUAUUUCUAGAUAUGGUCUAGUAGUUCAGAAAUCAGAAUGAACUUUUUGCAAUUGAUGUAUGGACAAGGGUUUGUGAUAUAUGCAUUUUUGUUCAAUUAGCAGAUUAUGCACAGAAUAAACGACACAGACUCCAUUUAUGGAAAGUUUUCUUCGCCACCCUUAUGAGUGGUGGGAGGAUAAUAGGAAGAGUUAACCUCAGCCAAAUUAUCCAGACAUUAAGUACAAGGAUACCGGUGAGGUCCUUUGGCUCCAGGACAAUGAUCAUCAAUGGAUCGAACGACAACUCCAAUUGUAGGGUUAUAGAUCGAGGGAACGAAGUCCAGAAAACACAUUAGUCAUUGUGGGUUUAUGAGGAUGCCUAAGGAAUUGAAACUCAGGUACAGGUCUCAAGUAGUGAAAAUUAGAAACAAAUAUACUCUGUUCAAUUAUUUCCAAUAACCUAGAUUUCUGCAGCACGAGUCAUUUCUGAUGUUUGGAUCUUAUAGCUUCCCAUGGAUUAAGAUGGAAGCGACUGUGUAUCAAACUAAAAAUCGGGGCCAUAAUUAGGUCUUGCAACUUCAAGUCACUGAAAAAUUCUUAACUUCUCCUUCGGAUGAUAUACGGAACACAAUUUGUGUUGGAAAAGAAACAUACAGUGGUUAUUGACAGGCUGUUGGAAAAAUUUCAACGUAUGGGACCACACGUGUAUAUAUAUUAAAAUGUGUGGUGCUAUUUUAAAGUUAAUCAAUAAAGUGAUUUGUUAAAGUCAUUUUUUGGACUAAUGGGUGUUAAAUGUAAUGAGAAUAAGGUGUAGAGACCGAAAAAUGUUAUUUUAAAUUGAUGAGAGACAAAUUUGAAAUAACACAAAGAUAAUAAUUGCUUAAUGCAAUUAUUUAUCAUGGGGUCAUGGUCCCCAAUUGUACGUUAUUUCAUCUCUCUGCAUCCCUAUCAACAGAAAAGAAUUUUCAAGGAAUUACGUAACAAUUAGAAAAUCAUGACCCGUUCAAAACACUCAUAUCUGUUGAUUAAGGUACGCUUUCGCUUUUAAUCUUCUCUUUGAUUUCAACAUGGAGGAUCUAUGUACUUUUGUGUAAGGAUUUGACAAAAGUUUUGGUUCCUUUUCAAUUUCUACAAGUGGUAUCAGAGCACUCUAUUGUUGAAUCUUUGAGAAAUUGCAAGAAUUAGGGUUCUAACAGUUUUGUAUGUUGGGUUAUUUGAUCUUCUAUCAUAUGAUUAUAUGGAAUUUACUUCUUGCAAUAUUUUAAGAAUUUUAAGAAUUGACAAUUUUGAAUCUGUUUUUUGUUGAAUUUGAAAAUUCUUUGGCAUGUUGUUCAUGGUUAUCUUUGGAGAUUUUGAUUAUUAUUUUUUUUUUUUGGGAAAUUCGGUCUAUAGAUUUUUUGGGUUAAAAAAAAAAUAAAUAAAAUUUGAAAACCCAACUGGCCGAUGGCGAUUGUAGCCACCGGCAUUGCAGCAGCGCUCGGUGCUCUUGCCACCGGCUAGCAUCGCCAGAGAGAGAGAGAGCGAAUAUGGAUAGAUUUAUUGGGGCGGGGCCUAAGGUGCAAUUUUGGUAAUCUCAGGCCCUUACUUGCAAUAAAGAUUAAGGUUAGUUAUAUUUAAAAUAUAAUUUUACAUUUUAGUCCCUAAAGUUUGAAAUUUAUUCAAGUUGGACCUUUAAAGUUCUGGGUUUAAUAAUUCACUCCCCGAAGUUUGAAAAUUAUUUAAUUUGGGCCAUUAAAGUUUUGAAUUUGACAAUUAAUGCCCUCAAUGUUUAUAAUCAAUUAAAAUUGGUCCCCAAAGUUUUAAAAUUUUCAUUUUUUGACCCCUAAAGUUUUGAAUUAUUAACCCUUAGAUCCCAAAAGUUUCAAAGGACAUUUAAUGAUGCGAAAUUAGUGAUUCACUUUCUUAAAUUUUGGUACUAAGGACUCUCUUAAGAGGUAUAGUUGAGAUUUAAUUAUGUGGGACAAUCAAAUUCAGAUAUUUUGGUAAAUCAUUCAUGAAAAAUUAAGGUUAUAUAGCAUUUUAAAUAAACUAAUUGAAACAAUUUGUCACCAAAGUGACCUCUCUUGUGUAGAUUGAUUUGUUUAAGAUGUUUAGAUGUUAUAUGUGUGCUUGUUCAUGUGGGUAUUAGCCGGCUCGAAGGAAGGUUGAUAUUUGGCCAAAUUAUAUACAUACUCGUGGUGGUGAACGUGUAGCAAUUAUAAGGUUUCCAUGUAAAUAAUAAAUCAAUGCAAAGUUGGGUUAUUUGGCAGGAGUUAUUGUUAAUGUUUGAUCACUACAGAGAGAGUACCACUUGCAAUUAAUAUUACUGUCCGAAGACUUGAUAUUAAUGUUGCACUAGGUAUCUUGAGAUGAGGCUUACCAUUAUUUGAAUUUAUUGUUCAUUAAAUGUGGAUAUUGAUAUGAGCAUGAUUAUUUGUUUUUUUUUUUUUUUUUAUCUUUAUACAGUUAAUUCAUCUGCUACUACUACAUCUGUCAAUGUUAAUUCAAUUCCUAUACUUAAUGGGACAAACUUCAAUGAUUGAAAAGAGAACAUAUUGAUUGUUCUUGGCUGCAUGGAUCUAGACCUUGCUCUCCGGAUUGAGGAACUCACUCCUCUUACGGAAUAAAGUUCACCUGAUGAAAAGAUGAACUUUGAGAAGUGGGACCGCUCAAAUCACAUGAGUCGAAUGAUCAUUAAGCGCGACACUUUAGAAGCCUUUAGAGGUACAGUAUCCGAAGGGUUAACUAAUGCCAAGGAGUUCCUCGUCGAAAUUGAGAAGCGUUUUGCAAAAAACGAUUAGGCUGAAACAAGCACGCUUUUGCAAAAGCUUGAUUUCAAUGAAGUACAAAGGCAAGGGGAAUAUAAGGGAGUACAUCAUGGAGAUGUCUCACAUUGCUUCUAAACUUAAAGCGCUAAAGCUUGAGCUGUCUGAUAACUUGCUCAUAUAUUUGGUAUUGAUCUCGCUUACUGCACAAUUCAGUCAAUUUAAGGUCAGUUAUAACUGCUAGAAGGAGAAAUGGUCUUUAAAUAAGACUGGACCUGUGUAGAAGGACUGUACCAAAUAUCAUGCUUGACGUGCAAAG
rnacentral:lncRNA from 1 species